CCUACGGGAGGCAGCAGUGGGGAAUAUUGGGCAAUGGAGGAAACUCUGACCCAGCGACGCCGCGUGCGGGAUGAAGGCCUUCGGGUUGUAAACCGCUUUCAGUAGGGAAGAAGCGAAAGUGACGGUACCUACAAAAGAAGCACCGGCUAACUACGUGCCAGCAGCCGCGGUAAUACAUAGGGUGCAAGCGUUGUCCGGAAUUAUUGGGCGUAAAGAGCUCGUAGGUCGUUUGUUACGUCGGAUGUGAAAACCUGAGGCUCAACCUCAGGCCUGCAUUCGAUACGGGCAAACUAGAGUUUGGUAGGGGAGACUGGAAUUCCUGGUGUAGCGGUGGAAUGCGCAGAUAUCAGGAGGAACACCAAUGGCGAAGGCAGGUCUCUGGGCCAAUACUGACACUGAGGAGCGAAAGUCUGGGGAGCGAACAGGAUUAGAUAUCCUGGUAGUCCAGACCGUAAACGGUGGGCACUAGUUGUGGGAACCUUCCACGGUUUCUGCGACGCAGCUAACGCAUUAAGUGCCCCGCCUGGGGAGUACGAUCGCAAGAUUAAAACUCAAAUGAAUUGACGG
rnacentral:rRNA from 1 species